rnacentral:rRNA from 1 species
GAUCCUGGCUCAGGACGAACGCUGGCGGCGUGCCUAAUACAUGCAAGUCGAGCGGACAGAAGGGAGCUUGCUCCCGGAUGUUAGCGGCGGACGGGUGAGUAACUCGUGGGUAACCUGCCUGUAAGACUGGGAUAACUCCGGGAAACCGGAGCUAAUACCGGAUAGUUCCUUGAACCGCAUGGUUCAAGGAUGAAAGACGGUUUCGGCUGUCACUUACAGAUGGACCCGCGGCGCAUUAGCUAGUUGGUGAGGUAACGGCUCACCAAGGCGACGAUGCGUAGCCGACCUGAGAGGGUGAUCGGCCACACUGGGACUGAGACACGGCCCAGACUCCUACGGGAGGCAGCAGUAGGGAAUCUUCCGCAAUGGACGAAAGUCUGACGGAGCAACGCCGCGUGAGUGAUGAAGGUUUUCGGAUCGUAAAGCUCUGUUGUUAGGGAAGAACAAGUGCAAGAGUAACUGCUUGCACCUUGACGGUACCUAACCAGAAAGCCACGGCUAACUACGUGCCAGCAGCCGCGGUAAUACGUAGGUGGCAAGCGUUGUCCGGAAUUAUUGGGCGUAAAGGGCUCGCAGGCGGUUUCUUAAGUCUGAUGUGAAAGCCCCCGGCUCAACCGGGGAGGGUCAUUGGAAACUGGGAAACUUGAGUGCAGAAGAGGAGAGUGGAAUUCCACGUGUAGCGGUGAAAUGCGUAGAGAUGUGGAGGAACACCAGUGGCGAAGGCGACUCUCUGGUCUGUAACUGACGCUGAGGAGCGAAAGCGUGGGGAGCGAACAGGAUUAGAUACCCUGGUAGUCCACGCCGUAAACGAUGAGUGCUAAGUGUUAGGGGGUUUCCGCCCCUUAGUGCUGCAGCUAACGCAUUAAGCACUCCGCCUGGGGAGUACGGUCGCAAGACUGAAACUCAAAGGAAUUGACGGGGGCCCGCACAAGCGGUGGAGCAUGUGGUUUAAUUCGAAGCAACGCGAAGAACCUUACCAGGUCUUGACAUCCUCUGACAACCCUAGAGAUAGGGCUUUCCCUUCGGGGACAGAGUGACAGGUGGUGCAUGGUUGUCGUCAGCUCGUGUCGUGAGAUGUUGGGUUAAGUCCCGCAACGAGCGCAACCCUUGAUCUUAGUUGCCAGCAUUCAGUUGGGCACUCUAAGGUGACUGCCGGUGACAAACCGGAGGAAGGUGGGGAUGACGUCAAAUCAUCAUGCCCCUUAUGACCUGGGCUACACACGUGCUACAAUGGACAGAACAAAGGGCUGCGAGACCGCAAGGUUUAGCCAAUCCCACAAAUCUGUUCUCAGUUCGGAUCGCAGUCUGCAACUCGACUGCGUGAAGCUGGAAUCGCUAGUAAUCGCGGAUCAGCAUACCGCGGUGAAUACGUUCCCGGGCCUUGUACACACCGCCCGUCACACCACGAGAGUUUGCAACACCCGAAGUCGGUGAGGUAACCUUUAUGGAGCCAGCCGCCGAAGGUGGGGCAGAUGAUUGGGGUGAAGUCGUAACAAGGUA